GGGGACAUAGCUUAGUGGAGAGUGCUUGCCUAGCAUGUGAGAGUCUCUGGGUUCAAUCCCCAGUUCCA
rnacentral:tRNA from 1 species